UCCGGUUUGUCACCGGCAGUCAUCCUAGAGUGCCCAUCUUACUGCUGGCAACUAAGAUCAAGGGUUGCGCUCGUUGCGGGACUUAACCCAACAUCUCACGACACGAGCUGACGACAACCAUGCACCACCUGUCUCCCCUGUCCCGAAGGCCCAACUCAUCUCUGAGCUGUUCAGGGGGAUGUCAAGACCUGGUAAGGUUCUUCGCGUUGCUUCGAAUUAAACCACAUACUCCACUGCUUGUGCGGGUCCCCGUCAAUUCCUUUGAGUUUCAGUCUUGCGACCGUACUCCCCAGGCGGAAUGCUUAAUGUGUUAACUUCGGCACCAAGGGCAUCGAAGCCCCUGACACCUAGCAUUCAUCGUUUACGGCGUGGACUAC
rnacentral:misc_RNA from 1 species